rnacentral:rRNA from 1 species
UAUGUGAUCGUCUCUCGCAUAUCAAUAAGCGGAGGAAAAGAAACUAACAAGGAUUCCCCUAGUAACGGCGAGUGAAGCGGGAAGAGCUCAAAUUUGAAAUCUUAAAGGGUUUCCCUUUACGAAUUGUAGUUUAAAGAAGUGUUUUCUGUUGAGGUUUUGGUAAAAGUUCUUUGGAAUAGGACAUCAUAGAGGGUGAGAAUCCCGUAUUUGACCUUUACUUUCAACUUUGUGAUACACUUUCAAAGAGUCGGAUUGUUUGGGAAUGCAGUCCAAAAUGGGUGGUAAAUUUCAUCUAAAGCUAAAUAUUGGCGAGAGACCGAUAGCGAACAAGUACCGUGAGGGAAAGAUGAAAAGAACUUUGAAAAGAGAGUUAAACAGUACGUGAAAUUGUCAAAAGGGAAGCGUUAGACACCAGUGUUGUUUUUCUGAAAAUCAAUUAAAGAACUGUUUAUGCUAAGUUGUUUAGACUUUAUCAGCUAACUGUUUAGUUUUGAGCUUUUCUUUAAUGCACUUUUCAGUUAACAAGUCAACAUCAAUUUCUUUUGCUGUAAAAAAGCUUGAGGAAGGUGGCUUGAGAUUCGUCUUAAGUGUUUAUAGCCUCUUGCCUAUGCAGUCGGAGAGAUUGAGGUCUGCAGCGUAGAUCCUUCGGGGCUAAAUGCAUUUGUGCUAAGUUAUAGCAUUUUAUAGGCAACUUGUUGACUAUGAUUUGUCUUGUAGCUUACUCGCUUAUGUUAUUUUACCUACGCUUAGGAUGUUGAUCUACAGAGCGAGAGU